CCCUCGUUCUAUGUUGCCAGCACGUAAUGGUGGGAACUCAUGGGAUACUGCCGGGGUCAACUCGGAGGAAGGUGGGGAUGNCGUCAAAUCAUCAUGCCCCUUAUGUNUUGGGCUUCACGCAUGCUACAAUGGCCGGUNCAAAGGGCUGCAAUACCGCGAGGUGGAGCGAAUCCCAAAAAGCCGGUCCCAGUUCGGAUUGAGGUCUGCAACUCGACCUCAUGAAGUCGGAGUCGCUAGUAAUCGCAGAUCAGCAACGCUGCGGUGAAUACGUUCCCGGGUCUUGUACACACCGCCCGUCAAGUCAUGAAAGUCGGUAACACCUGAAGCCGGUGGCCCAACCCUUGUGGAGGGAGCCGUCGAAGGUGGGAUCGGUAAUUAGGACUAAGUC
rnacentral:rRNA from 1 species